CAGUCGCCACGGGAAUACGGAGGGUGCAAGCGUUAAUCGGAAUUACUGGGCGUAAAGCGCACGCAGGCGGUCUGUCAAGUCAGAUGUGAAAUCCCCGGGCUUAACCUGGGAACUGCAUUUGAAACUGGCAGGCUAGAGUCUUGUAGAGGGGGGUAGAAUUCCAGGUGUAGCGGUGAAAUGCGUAGAGAUCUGGAGGAAUACCGGUGGCGAAGGCGGCCCCCUGGACAAAGACUGACGCUCAGGUGCGAAAGCGUGGGGAGCAAACAGGAUUAGAGACCCCUGUAGUCCCUGUCUCUUAUAA
rnacentral:rRNA from 1 species